CCAGCUUUAGGGCACCACAACAUGCCCUGAUCUGCCCUCCAAUCCCAAACACACCCUUCCAUUUUCCCACUCUCUUUCUCCCCUUUCCUUUUCCUGUGGAAACGUGCCGCCACUGUACAUUAAAGAGCACUCUUCUCUGCAUGCGGGAAUAAAAGAUUAGGGUCUCCAUUCACAACCCAUACACAAAGCUUAAUUUCUAAUUUUCUACUACUACUACUACACCCUUUCUCUUUCAAUUGCUUCUGUAGCUGGCGAGUCCCCUACAUAUUAUAUUUUUCUAAUGUAUCAUGUAUAGUCCUCAUAUUAUGUCUAUAUCUAUAUAUAUAUGUCCCUCUUUCUCUCCUUCCUCAAUUCAUUCUAGCUGAUAUAUUUUUAUUAUCUCUCCAUGGCUUCAACUGAUCUUGAGUUUGUGAGAAGACCCAUCUCCAACUUUCAGCCCCAAUGGAAGUCUUGUAGAAUUUUCUCCUAUUUACACGAGUUGGACUGCUUCUCCAACUGCCCUCUUGAAUUUAGAGGCCUCUGCAAGCCAAGAACAUGAGAUGAGUGAAGGUCAUCCAUGCAAGGGGAAUCAAGCACUCCUGUGCCCGCCGAAUCCCUCUUGCAAUAGCCCAUGAUACGAGCUUUCAACUCAGACAUCUGGAGUUCGAGAUUCCACUCGCAUUCAGGCUGGCACAUGUGACGAGUUGCAAAACCCCUUCAUUACGUAUAACAAUGACUUUACGUUACGAGCUUUAGAAAGAACCGAUCAAUUUACUUUCAGAUCAUUCAUUAUAUGUAGCUGCUGUAGCCAUAGAAUCACCAUUUCUCACAUUAGCAAAAGGGCAAUAUGUACUAAGCAUCCAAAUUAUGUUACUAUUGAAAUUUUAAUCAUUGGGUAUGUGAUGAAUUCCUAA